CGAGGGGCGGGGCGGGCGCGGCAUCCCCGCGUCAAGGUCAGGGUGCGGGGUGCAGGCCCUGUGUCCGGUCACACAUUUGCACCGAUGCGUUCUGGUGGCCGUGGGAAACAAUAAAGCGUUGGCCCAUGCCUAGUGAAAGCAAAAAGGGGUCUCCCAGGCCGAUAAAGAUCCGUUUACAAGCUUGAUUUCAAGUAACAAAACGUGGUUGUGGCAUCAGGCUUGGUAGAGUUCAGGGAGUGUUUGGCCAUUGCUUUCAGACGUAGGGUUGGGAUUUUGGGUGGUGCUGUGUGGAGCCAGGAGUUAGACUCGAUGGUCCUUAUGGGUCUCUUCCAACCCUUCCAGUUUAUGAUGGUUCUAUGAAAAGAUGUGUAUGCCCUGUACAAAUGCAAACUAAAUCACUUAAUAGCUAGCAAUGCACGUAAGUCCCAUGAAUACAGAUAAUGAAGUAAUCACAUGCAAACUUCUGAUAACCUCUAGCAAUGUCAUCAGUGCUGCACAAGGCAUCAAAGGAGAAAACACACCUUCUGAAGACCAGAGGAUUAAGCUGGAAUUGCGUUUCCUGUUUUUCUCUUUGUGACCAUUACCACAAGAGCAGUAACAGAACUCACAGGAAAAGCUGAGCUUCUGGACUCUGACCUACUAAUGGCUCCAGUCUCUGCCUCGUAGAGGAACUCAUGGCAUCACACAAGCAUAAAUCUUUGGCUGUCUGUACUCAAGGGACCGUACAUGAGUGACUCAAAAAUGUUCCAAGCCAAAUAUGUCCUAAAACAUAACAGCCUGACUUGAUGGGUUUCUUUCUCCUAUCAGUCAUCUCAGGUUGACCGCGUUGACCUGAGUGCAGCCACUCGCACAAGUGCUGGAACAUGGCUGUCUGGAGCUCCAGGGAGCAUCAGCUGCAAUUGACUCUGCAAAUUAUUUUUCGUUCAGGAUGCAAAUGAAACAUGCACAUAAGAAUAAGCUUAACUUUAACCAUUUGAGUAAUACCACUGACUUUGUUAAGACAAUGUACUCUGCAUAUUUCAUUUUUAUUACAAGUUCGUAUUGAAAAGCGUGGGGUUGUUUUUGCAUUUGUUGCUUUUCCUGCUCACAAGAAUUGUGACACUAAUGGGACUGUUCUCCUUAAAAAGGUGCAGCGAGUACUUCAUUGAGAUAAAAAUCUUCACAGCUUUCCAGCAUAGUAUUUGUGUGCUAAUGGGACAGUAGCAUAAAGAACUUUACUUAAAGCAUCUAUGCAUAAUUGUUUACUCUCUGAAUUAUUCAUAUAAUUCAGAUUCAUGUGUAUUAUUAUGUUUUAAAAUGUAACAAGCACUGCUCCAGAGAACCUGAUAAUUAAAAAAAGGAAAACAAAAGAAUGAGUGUUCCUGCAGCACUUUGAACAUGCAGAAAUGUAGUUACCAAAAAAGCAAUGAAUAAUGUUGUCAAAAGCUUAUACUGCUGUACCUCCAAUGGCAUAUGAGGAACAGUUUACAUAUUUAAAAACAAUAACAACAGCAAACCACCUCAGAAACUUACUACAACAUAGGAGAACAGUUUCUCUAAAUUGUUUACAGUUUUCCUGGCUUUUAACCAGCUGUACACUAGCACAAUCAAAAGCAAACAGCUGUGGAACAUGAGAAUCACCACCCCCAUGUUAAGUGAAGGCAGUAGUGUUUAAUCACUGGGGGCUGGAGCACCUCUCUUAUGA